CCUACGGGAGGCAGCAGUGAGGAAUAUUGGUCAAUGGACGCAAGUCUGAACCAGCCAUGCCGCGUGCAGGAAGAAGGCACAAUGAGUUGUAAACUGCUUUUGUACGAGGGUAAACGCAGAUACGCGUAUCUGUCUGAAAGUAUCUUACGAAUAAGCAUCGGCUAACUCCGUGCCAGCAGCCGCGGUAAUACGGAGGAUUCAAGCGUUAUCCGGAUUUAUUGGGUUUAAAGGGUGCGUAGGCGGUCGGAUAAGUUAGAGGUGAAAUCCCGAGGCUCAACUUCGGACUUGACGCUGACACUGGUAGGCUAGAGAGUAGGUGCGGUAGGCGGAAUGUAUGGUGUAGCGGUGAAAUGCUUAGAGAUCAUACAGAACACCGAUUGCGAAGGCAGCUUACCAAGUUACGUCUGACGUUGAGGCACGAAAGCGUGGGGAGCAAACAGGAUUAGAUACCCCGGUAGUC
rnacentral:rRNA from 1 species